rnacentral:rRNA from 1 species
GAUGAACGCUGGCGGCGUGCCUAAUACAUGCAAGUCGAGCGAACGGACGAGAAGCUUGCUUUUCUGAUGUUAGCGGCGGACGGGUGAGUAACACGUGGAUAACCUACCUAUAAGACUGGGAUAACUUCGGGAAACCGGAGCUAAUACCGUAUAAUAUUUUGAACCGCAUGGUUCAAAAGUGAAAGACGGUCUUGCUGUCACUUAUAGAUGGAUCCGCGCUGCAUUAGCUAGUUGGUAAGGUAACGGCUUACCAAGGCAACGAUGCAUAGCCGACCUGAGAGGGUGAUCGGCCACACUAGAACUGAGACACGGUCCAGACUCCUACGGGAGGCAGCAGUAGGGAAUCUUCCGCAAUGGGCGAAAGCCUGACGGAGCAACGCCGCGUGAGUGAUGAAGGUCUUCGCAUCGUAAAACUCUGUUAUUAGGGAAGAACAUAUGUGUAAGUAACUGUGCACAUCUUGACGGUACCUAAUCAGAAAGCCACGGCUAACUACGUG